GACGAACGCUGGCGGCGUGCUUAACACAUGCAAGUCGAACGAAGAGCGAUGGAAGCUUGCUUCUCUCAAUCUUAGAGGCGAACGGGUGAGUAACGCGUAAUCAACCUGCCCUUCAGAGGGGGACAACAGUUGGAAACGACUGCUAAUACCGCAUACGAUCUAAUCUCGGCAUCGAGGAUAGAUGAAAGGUGGCCUCUACAUGUAAGCUAUCACUGAAGGAGGGGAUUGCGUCUGAUUAGCUAGUUGGAGGGGUAACGGCCCACCAAGGCGAUGAUCAGUAGCCGGUCUGAGAGGAUGAACGGCCACAUUGGGACUGAGACACGGCCCAGACUCCUACGGGAGGCAGCAGUGGGGAAUCUUCCGCAAUGGACGAAAGUCUGACGGAGCAACGCCGCGUGAGCGAUGACGGCCUUCGGGUUGUAAAGCUCUGUUAAUCGGGACGAAAGGCCUUCUUGCGAAUAGUGAGAAGGAUUGACGGUACCGGAAUAGAAAGCCACGGCUAACUACG
rnacentral:rRNA from 1 species